UGGGGAAUCUUGCGCAAUGGGCGAAAGCCUGACGCAGCAACGCCGCGUGGGGGAUGAAGCUUCUCGGAGUGUAAACCCCUUUCGACCCGGACGAAUGCCCGCAAGGGUUUGACGGUACGGGUAUAAGAAGCCCCGGCUAACUACGUGCCAGCAGCCGCGGUAAAACGUAGGGGGCCAGCGUUGCUCGGAAUUACUGGGCGUAAAGGGUCCGUAGGCGGUGUGGCAAGUCGGAAGUGAAAUCUCUGGGCUUAACCCAGAGUCUGCUCCCGAAACUGCUGUGCUAGAGUGCGAGAGAGGCGAGUGGAAUUGCGGGUGUAGCGGUGAAAUGCGAAGAUAUCCGCAGGAACAUCCGAGGCGAAAGCGGCUCGCUGGAUCGCAACUGACGCUGAGGGACGAAAGCUAGGGGAGCAAACAGGAUUAGAUACCCUGGUAGUCCUAGCCCUAAACCAUCAGGACUUGGGGUUUGCCCUGUACGGGGCAAGUCCCGUAGCUAACGCGUUAAGUCCUGCGCCUGGGGAGUACGGUCGCAAGGCUG
rnacentral:rRNA from 1 species